rnacentral:rRNA from 1 species
AUGCCGUCCUUCACCGGCGUGUCUAUCGUCGACGGCGAGCAGUGCUGUUGCGAGGCGUCGGCCGUGGUGGACGCCGGCAGCGCGGACAGCGGGUACCACUUGCUCGUGGUCCGGGGAUACUCGCGUACCAAACAGGAGUUGUCCGCCGGCGAGAGCAUCACCUCCGAUGUUUUCAUCAUAGGAGGCCAUUGCUGGUACAUCGAGUACUACCCCAACGGCGAAAACCCGGACUGCGGCGACUUCAUUUCUCUCUAUGUUACCAAUUACGACAACAGUCUCAAAGAGCCCCUGGAGACCAAGUUUGGGUUCAGCUUCAUUGACCAGGUUGAGAAGCAGACGCCAAUGUACAUUCAUGCGGCUGGUAAGACUUGCAGAUUCACUGACGGCCAUUGUUCCUGGGGCACCGACAAGUUUGUGAGAAGAGAUGCCCUUGAACGAUCAUCGGACCUAAAGGGUGAUUGCUUCACCGUCUGGUGUGAUGUCAUGGUCAUUCGCAAGGACCCCAAAGCCGAGGAUGCCGGUGGCCAUGACACCAAGAUGCUCCUGUCUGACAUAGACCAGCAUUUUAACAUUCUUCUUCAAACCAAGGUGGGUGCUGAUGUGACAUUCGAGGUCAGCGGCGAGACCUUCGCCGCGCACCGGUGUGUGCUCGCUGCCCGAUCCAUGGUGUUCAUGGCACAACUGUUUGGCCCCAUGAAGGAGACGUCCGCCGUCAUACAGAUCAAAGACAUGGAAGCAAAAGUGUUCAAGGCACUGCUUAGCUUUAUCUACACAGACUCAUUCCCUGUGAUGGAGGAUGCAAUGAUAGAAGUCACUGAAGAUGGGCAAGAAAAGGAGGCAGUAGAGGAUGAAAUGUUGCUGCAAUGGCUACCAGACUAGUUGGUAGCGGCUGACAGAUAUGAUGUCCAACGGCUCAAGUGCAUCUGUGAGAAGCAGUUGUCUGAGAACAUAGGUGUGAGCACGGUGAUGUCCUCUCUUGCUCUAGCCGAGCAGCACCACUGCCAGGGAUUAAAGGAGGCGUGCUUGAAGUUUAUCCAAGUCCAGUCCCCCUCGUGCUUGCAAACAGUAAUGGCAACUAAUGGCUGGGAUCAUGUAGUUUCGACCUAUCCCUCGGUUUUGAAGGAGCUCUUUCUCAAGUUUGCUUCAAGCCAGUGAAAGUAA